CUGCAUGCAUGCAAUGGGUUUACCACUGCAAAUAACUCUCCCUCUCUCCACACAAUGAGAUGAAGGGGUUAAAAAGCAUGCUAUAAAAACAUGGAGUUAACAGGGCCACCAGCCUCUCAAGAACAGGCUGUGUCGGUAGUAUAAAACUCCCACAUUU